ensembl:lncRNA
AGGGCUAUACUUGUGGCAUAUGAAAGGUCCCAGGCUAGGGGUCAAAUCAAGGCUACAGCUGAAGGCCUAUACCAUGGCCACAGCAACACGGAAUCUGCACCAUGUCUGUGACCUACCCCACAGCUCUCAGCAAUGCCAGAUCCUUAAACCACUGAGUGAGGCCUGGGGUUGAACCCAUAUCCUCUUGGAUACUAGUUGGGUUCUGUUGUUUCCCUUUGGCUUUGAUGUCAGUCACCAAGAUGUCUAUCCAGUUUUUCCAUUUAAACAAAAACAUAACUUCCUGAGAAAAUAAUAAAAUGAGCUAAACUUGUCACAAAUGAAUUAUAUCCCUCUAUGUAUAAAACCAGGAAUUACAUCUGUUGCUUAGCAAGGAGACUAGAAUUUUAGCAAAUACAUUGAGGAUGACUAUACCUUUUUCUCAUACCAUUGCAACUGGGAAGUAAGUGCAUUUCAAUAGUUAAACCAAAUUAUAAUCUGGUUCUCGUAAUCACUUGCUUCCUAGCAUACUGUGAUAUGAUUGAGCUCUUUAUACUGCUUCCUAGCCUCUCAGAUAAACCUCCUCCAUUCACAGCUGUGAUGUGAGGCUAAAAACAUUCAUACACAUAUUUUUUUUUUUCUUGCACAGCUGCCUGAUAGCAUGGCCCAAAAUGGAAUUUAUGUUUGAUUGAUCACAUGCAGACAUAUUUGGUUUUGUUAAAGGAGUGAGAAUAUAUAACAAAAUACAUACUCUAUGAAAGUCUUGUUAGAGAGAAACAAUAGUGUUACUAUAUAAAUAGAAACAAAUCCUGGUGGAAGAAGGGUAAAUGUAUCUCCUCUAUAGCCAUAAAAAUCCUCUAGAGAGACAGGGCAAGACUGGCACACAGAAAAAGAGAAUAUGAGAUGUGAGAAAUAUCGACUAAAUCUGCAUCCCAGACUCAAACUGUCUUUCCCUCACACAGCUUCCCAUUGUGCCUGGAAUGUCACGCUUAGAGAGCCAUUCACUGGAUUAAGAUAUUGUGUAUUUUUGUCUCAUGCUAAAAUGUGAAUGAUCAUGGGAGAAGUAAUGUCUUCUCUUUAUGCCUAGUCACUGGCCCACCUUCUAGCAUGAGUUAGCUUAUUUCAUCUUGAGAGAGAGGUGAAUGUUCUUGCAGAAUGGACAAAAAAUAAAUAAAUAAAUAAAAAUUUAAAAAGAUCUGCCAUGUCCUACAGUGGAUGUGCUCUUGGUAAGCACAUGGCUAUAUUGGAAUCUUCACUGCAUCCAGAAAGUAGAAAUCACCCCAUUAAAGAGAGAUUUUGUGAGCUUGUGCCAGUUACUUCAAGCCAGGGAACUGAGUUAUAAAGUCACUACAAGACAAUAAAAUGAGGAAUUAAGCUGAAUACCAAAAAGUGAGGAAUUACACUGAAAGUUGUCAUAGACCAAUGUGCCACAAUGACAUUGGGUUGGGGAAGAGAUAUUUAUUGAGUCAAUUUAUUAUAUAUAAUAAAAUAUGGGCAAAGGUAAACCUUCAAAUCAGAAGCUAUGCAAAAUUCUUGUUUAAAUCUGACAUUGGAAUUGAGAUUAUGGAAAGAAAGGCCUAGAACAAGGGUAAAUUUGCAGUUGAUGCAGAUAUAAUCCUUCUGAUGGAAUAUGGUGCCUUUUUGCGCCAUUGCGCUGCCUAGACUCCACAGUUAUUUAGCAUGUUUGUCUAGACACAGCAAAGUAAAUUUAUGAAAUUUAGUUGUUAAACACUUCACAUGACUUAAUAAAAAAUUAUUCUGUAGAGUUAUCUAUAGCCUUGGAAACAAACAAAAAAGUCCAAGCAAAGAUAUGCCCAGAAUGUCAAAUACUUAAGAAUUUAAGUUCCUUUGAGUAGGUACCAUUAACAACAAUAAAAAUGCAUCUCUCGUAUAAAUUAAUCGCCUUUUAAAACAAAGUAAAAAAAAUAAUAAAAUGAAGUGUUUUGAAUUCAUAUAAUUAACUUUUCAACUGUAAACAUAGAAAAGAUUAUGCCAUCCAUUCUUAAAAGUAUUUCAUUGUUGACUUUUUUACAUUGUUUUAAAUAACUCAUUUUAGAGGUUUUUUUUUUUCUUUCUUUUUAUUUUUCUACUCAUGUUGUAAAAACAAAGCAAGAUUGUUUAAUUAGCCCAGCAUUGGCCUGCUUUUCUUAAAAAUAUGAACUAUCAAGUGAACUUUCAUUAUAUUCCUAUAAAAAUAGUAAUCAAAAUAUAUACUUCUGAUCUGACAUUCACAAGUCCUAAUGUAAUAAGAUGAAUCUAGUUUCAUGUUCCUUGUGUUCUAAGAGUGUAAAUCACUUUAUGCAAAUUUACAUUUUUAUGAAGUAGAAAUUCUGAAUAUUUUUAGCCUUGAAAUAGCUUUAAAAUGCAAUAAUCUUUUGGCACCAGGGCUUAACAAGGACAAAUAUCGUGCAGUGAAACAAAAGGUCAUCUUAUUGAGAAUAUUUAAAAAUGUUCUUCAUCCUUAUGUGAAAAUAGAUAGUAUAUUUUUUGUUUUAUCUUGUAUAUAGUGAAUCUUUAGGAAGGUUUGUUAAUUUUAUUGUAUUCUAUUUUUUUUUCCUGUUAAAUAUCAUUGCAACAUACCAUAGGGCUGCUAAUUUUUUAUGAGUAAAUUAUAUAUCACUAGAGGUUCCUUAUAAGAAGCUAUACUCCAAUUAGGACUAGUAUCAAAUGAUACACAUCAAAUUAAAUACGUAUAAAAUCUCUCCUUGGAGCAGGAAGUUAAACUUGUGUCUACUUUCCUUUGGAGAGAAUUUUGUUACUGUGAUAUUUAUAAAAUUACUAAUAUAUUGUUUAUUAGCAUAGAUUGUUUAAAAGUGAAACAAGCAUGAUAAAAUUGGUAUUUUAUAGUACAUUUCCACUUAGUGAAGUCCUGAUUUACUCUGUGAAUUUUAAUAUGAACUUAAAAAGUGAAAUAAUACUGUUGUGGGAUGUUUUUUCCCCUAGUGUAACAUACACACACAGACACACACACAAAUUACCAAAAAAGUCUUGAAAAAUGAAUCAUAGAGUAAAUAAACUUGAGUGUAUUGGGCAGUGCCACUAAUAAUAUUGUUUGUUUCAUUUAUAAUGGUUCUUGAUUGAGAAUCUUUGUAUCUUUAGAACAAGAGAGGCACAUAAGAAUGUCAAGUAUUAGGGAUUCGUAUAGGAGAACAUGUUUUCUGUAUUGUCAAAGCUUUGUUGGUUUCUUCUAACCUAAGUUAAUAUGAGCCUAGUGUUUAUUAUGAUAUUAAUAUUCAAUCACUUGUUAUAGGAAUGCAAUUAGAAAGCUCUAUUUUGUGAGGCCACAUGUACUUACACUGUCACUCACAGAAGUAGAUUUUGCAAUUUUGCAAUUAGUGUCCAGAAGGAACAUUUACCAGCGGCUUUGCUUUUCCAGCAAGAAUCAAGAGAGCGAGACAGUAAAAUUGACCUGAACUUGCAGAAGAGUUCAAAUGCUAAAUCCUAAAAUUAAUUAGAAGAUGUAUGACCACCCUUGAUCUUGAUUCUAAUCCAAUUCUAAUUAAACCUACACCAUAAACCAAGAAUUCACACACUGGGAAGGCUUAUUUUUUAUUUAUUUAAUUUUUUUUUUUUUUUUUUUUUAGUUACUCUAUUUCAUGCAUAGGCUCAAAAUAAGUUCUAAUUAGCUAAGCUACUCACUGAAUAUUUUCAGUAGUUAGAAGCACAAAAUAAAAGUUGAGCUAGCAAAUAGAAAGCAGAGAACAUACAAUGAUUUGGGAGAUGGUAGAGUUAGAUAGAAAAUCCUUUUGUAGUCACAGUUUAUUUAGUCUGAACAGUUUUAUCAGCUUAGUAGCCUGCACUCAUUAGUAUACUGUCUUUUAGAUUAUCACAGGGGAAAAAAUAAACCAAAAAAUACCUGUGAACUAUAAGUUCCUUACCCUUGCCUUUCAAGGCCCUACACCUCCCAAUAUAUCCCUUUCAUCUUCCAAAACUCAGCUCUGUGUGUUCCUGAGUCUCAGGGAACUAGACACUUCCCAGCAUGCUUCAGUUCUCCCCUACCUCCAUACUUUCCCUAUCAUCCUUUAUGGUCUAUACCAAAUGUCUCCUGAUUUCUGACCUAUUUAUUCUUCUGUGAACUGCCAUGGCCCUCUGAUUGUAUCUACCUUGUUCCUUGAUAGUCUAUAUUCCAAAAAUUUUUCUAGAUGCUAGGAGUACAUCAGUGAGCAAAACAAAUAAAAAUAUUUUCUCACAGGGAGAUCAUACUCUAAGACGAUGAGAUAGAUAAUAAUCAUAUCUAUAAAUGAUAUAGUUUAGAAAGGGAUAAUGACCUUGGCAAAAAUACAGGAGGAAAAAAGGAUUGAAGACUUUGGAAGUGGAGGGAAUUAUAAUUUUAAAUCCAAUUUUUAAGGAAUACGUCAAUGAAAAGAUAACAUUUGUGCAAGUAUUUGAAGAGCUGUGACUAUUUGGAGAGGAGCUCUUGGGGAAGAAAUAGUAGCCAAGGAAAGAGUUCUGAGACGGGAGUUUGGCUGGGGCAGAUGAUUGAGGUCAGGGAAGGAGUCAUCCUGGGUCAGAUGUUACAGGGCUUUGUUGGUAAACACAAGGACUGCUUUUACUCUGCUUAAGAUGGAAACCAUUGCAGAGUUUUGAGCCCAGGAGCACCAAGACCUGAUUUAGCAUUACUCUGCAUCACUGUUUCUAGCAUCACUCUGAAUACUGCAUUAAGAAUAGACUAUAGUGGGGAAGGGUAGAAAUGGGAAUCUAGCCGGAGUCUACUAUAACAAGCAGGGAGUUGACAAUGGUAACUUGAAUAGUAGCAGCACAGAUGAUAAGAAAUAGUUAACUUUCUAGAUAUAAAUUGAAGGUAGGGCAGUAUAAUUUUCUGAUAGAUUGGAUUUGUGGUGGAAGUGAACAUGAGGAGUCAAAGAAUACCCCAAGAGAAUCCUGUAUUAUAAUUAGCAAACUUACCACAUUUUUCUGUCCACCCCUAAACUAUUGAGCUAACACGUGUACUUACACAUAUAGUCAUACGCUUGUAGUCCUCUUCAAUAAUUUAGACUAACUGAUGGUCUAUACAAUAUGGUUAAUUUCUCUGCAGAUUAUAGAAAUUAAAAAUGAAAUAAGGGUUAGUACCAGUUAAAAGAUUUGAGAAGGCUAAAUUUUUUUUUCUAAUUUUAAAUUAGAUGUAAUUUUGCUUCAGGCUAGCUGGAAGAGUUCUGUAAGUGACAAUUUAAACUUAAAUUAAUCUCACUCUAAGCCCUUUUUAAUAAAGCUUUUCUAUGAAACACUGAAAAGCCAGCAAGAUGAAGGCUGUAAUGUUCCCAGGAAUAUAUAAUCUAAAACUAUAACUUAAUUUGAAUUCUACUGUGCAUUUUAAUUAAAUUCCAGAUCUUUACAGACAAUUAGUACACACAUGUAAGACACAUCUAUCUAGAAGGUAAUGUGAAGUGAAGAAUUUAGGCAUUUAUCUUGAUAGUUAAAGCUUCAAAUCUAGCUUUGAAGGAAAAAAGUGUGAGUCAGCCUUGGAAUUUCAUUAAAUAUAAAUACUAAUUCCUAAUUUGACAGUUAUUCAUUUCUGUGUUUGAAUUAAUCUGUAUGGACAUGGGCACUUUUUUUUUGGUCUUUGACUUUUCUAGGGCUGCUCCUAUGGCAUAAGGAGGUUCCCAGGCUAGGGGUCGAAUUGGAGCUGUAGAUGCCAGCCUACGCUCGAGCUCCACAGCAAUGCGGGAUCCGAGCCACGUCUGCAACCUACACCACAGCUCACAGCAACGCCGGAUUUUUAACCCACUGAGCAAGGCCAGGGAUCGAACCCGCAACCUCAUGGUUCCUAAUCGGAUUCGUUAACCACUGAACCAUGACGGGAACUCCAUGGGCACAUUUUUGAGAUGGAUAAAAGUCUGAUUCAUGCAGACUUUGUGACUGAAAAAAGAGAAGUAUUUUGCAUCAGGAUUGGUGUAUUUCUUUUAACUUAAAUUAGAUGAAAUUAGACAAAACUAGAAAGCUACAUUAAAUGUGGGAUGGAUUUUUUUUUGGAGAAUCAAUCUAAAGAUAAAAAUAUAUAGGAAAAGUUAAAGUUAUGAAAAGAACCACAGAAAAAUUCUAUUACAAUAAGUUCUUUUAUUAUUUGAACAAUUUUGUAUUAUCUAAAGGAAGUUAUUAUGAAUAGAUUGACAAUUCACACUAUCAUCACAAGUUUAGAAUCUAGGUGUCUGUGUCCUAAUAUGGCUGACUUUUGGUUAUUCAUUUUCACCUGAAGGAAGAUGUUUAUUUAAAAAGUGACAUGGAAUUCCUGUUGCAGCUCAGUGGAUUAAGAACCCAACUAGCAUCCAUGCGGAUGCAGGUUGGAUCCCUGGCCUUGCUCAGUAUGUUAAGGAUUCGCUGUUGCCAUGAGCUGUGGUAUAGGUUGCAAAUGUGGCUUGGAUCUGGUGUUGCUGUGGCUGUGGCAUAGACUGGCAGCUGCAGCUCUGAUUUGACCCCUAGCCUGGGAACUUACAUAUGCUGUAAAAAAACCAAAAAAAAAAAAAAA